UGAAUGUCUGUUAUCUGACGACUACAGGAAAGAGCACAGCCCACAGAAACCAAAAGGUUCAAAUGACAGUUUCUAAUGCAGUCUCUGUACAAAAGGAGAAUCUGGUGAGAAUCAGCUUAGUGUUUUUUUACAACGGGGAGAAGACGAUGAUACUUUCCAGCUUCAAAAGCUUCUUUAUUUAUUAUUAUUUGAGCUCCUUAUUCUACCCAAGCAAUGGUUUUGAGGUGAUCCAGCCACAGAAUAAGACUAAUAACCCAGAUACAGUUUUCAUCAGCUGUAACUUUACAGCAAACACUGGGACAAUUGUAGAUGUUCGACUCAACAAGGUUUUACCAGAGAAAAAGAUGCUCUGCCAGACUGAAUCUGAAGCCUGUCAUAACAUUAUCGUACUUAAAGACGCUCCAUUCAAGUACAUUUUCAUCUUACUCAAUGCUGGGCCAGAGGCAUGGACCUCAAAGUAUGAAUGUGAGUGGUCAGCAACAAAUAAGGAUGGGACGGACAAAACCGUGACAAGUGCAGCAAACAAAUUAAUUAAACUGCAACUACAAGGUCAACUGGGAACCACACCACAGUGUACUCCUCCCCCUUCACCUCCUCCCCCUCAGUCCCAUCAGCUCAUGUGGAUUUUGAUUGGUCUGCUGGCCCUGAUGUUUGUGUACAGCUGUAUCAUCACCUCCUUCUACAUGAGGCUUAUGAACAGCAGCAAAGAUUGCGAAAACUCCACCUAUGUUGAAAUGAGGAACGUUCCAGUUCAGCUGCAUCCUCACCACAUUUACAAUACUAUGCAAAAGGCUUGAGCUGCCCCUCAUUUCUUUAUAUCUUAUUAGGAAAAUGGGUCUUCAGGUCAGAGGUCACGGUUGGUCCUACGUACCAAACUCGUGGGGAUCCAGCUUUUCACGCACCAAAGCUGUGGUAUUCUCUUCCAUUGUCUUUACGCCGUGCAGACCCCACUGACUCUUUCAAAAAGUAGCUGAAGACAUUUCUAUACAAACAAGUUUUUAAUUAAUUUUCUCAUUGUUUUGUUUUAUUUAUAUUUCUGGUUUUAUUGUGAAGCACUUUGUGAUUUUUAUCAGUAAAAAGUGCUAUAAAUACAUCUUACUUACUUACUUUUCUAAAUCUUCAAGGAAACUUUGCCUUAAUCUUGUAUUCAAAUUACAAUAUUUUAUACUAUGUUUUGUGUAGUUUCCACGUGCUUCAGUGUUUCUGCACACGCACACAACAAUGGUACAAUUUCUAAUUAUUGCGGUACUACAUGCCUUAUUGCUAAUAAUAUUAUAUUUUUAUAAAUAUACCUCAAGCUCCCCAUUAGUGGCCAGUUUGGUUUCUGUCUCAUCGCUUGUAUCAUUUUAUGAUACACAUUGUUGAGGGUGGGGGAUACCUACUUAUCGUAGUUUACACAUUUCAAGCUGGAGAAAACGGUGUGCCCAUCAGCAGCCACAGAAUCGGUUCAAUAUCCUUUAUUAAGGAUAAAUGUAAUUGUAACCUCUUAGUUAAUCUGAACGAUAAGCUGUUGUUUUGCUGGAGGGGAACAAAAAAUCAUUGUAUUUGUCAUCACAUGUAGCAAAUAUCAUACCUUGACUUUUGAAUGGCCUGUUGUCUUUAUGUGUCUUUUAUUUCAAAAUAGAUUUGUAUGGUUUCUUUUAACCAAUAAAAAUUAAAUCCAAA
ensembl:lncRNA